GAUGAACGCUGGCGGCGUGCCUAACACAUGCAAGUCGAGCGGGAAAUUUUAAAAUGAAGCUUCGGUAGAUUUUUAAGAUGGAGAGCGGCGGACGGGUGAGUAACGCGUAGGCAACCUGCCCUUUGCAGAGGGAUAGCCAUUGGAAACGAUGAUUAAAACCUCAUAAUACUAAAUAGUCACAUGGCUGUUUGGUCAAAGAUUUAUCGGCAAAGGAUGGGCCUGCGUCUGAUUAGCUAGUUGGUGGGGUAACGGCCUACCAAGGCGACGAUCAGUAGCCGACCUGAGAGGGUGAUCGGCCACAUUGGAACUGAGACACGGUCCAAACUCCUACGGGAGGCAGCAGUGGGGAAUAUUGCACAAUGGGCGAAAGCCUGAUGCAGCAACGCCGCGUGAAGGAAGAAGGUCUUCGGAUCGUAAACUUCUGUCCUUGGGGAAGAUAAUGACGGUACCCUUGGAGGAAGCCCCGGCUAACUACGUGCCAGCAGCCGCGGUAAUACGUAGGGGGCAAGCGUUAUCCGGAAUUAUUGGGCGUAAAGAGUGCGUAGGUGGUUACUUAAGCGCGGGGUUUAAGGCAAUGGCUCAACCAUUGUUCGCCCUGCGAACUGGGUUACUUGAGUGCAGGAGAGGAAAGCGGAAUUCCUAGUGUAGCGGUGAAAUGCGUAGAUAUUAGGAGGAACACCAGUGGCGAAGGCGGCUUUCUGGACUGUUACUGACACUGAGGCACGAAAGUGUGGGGAGCAAACAGGAUUAGAUACCCUGGUAGUCCACACCGUAAACGAUGAGCACUAGGUGUCGGGGUCGCAAGACUUCGGUGCCGCAGUUAACGCAUUAAGUGCUCCGCCUGGGGAGUACGUACGCAAGUAUGAAACUCAAAGGAAUUGACGGGGACCCGCACAAGCAGCGGAGCAUGUGGUUUAAUUCGAAGCAACGCGAAGAACCUUACCAGGACUUGACAUCCUCCUGACCGCUCUUUAAUAGGAGCUUUCCUUCGGGACAGGAGAGACAGGUGGUGUAUGGUUGUCGUCAGCUCGUGUCGUGAGAUGUUGGGUUAAGUCCCGCAACGAGCGCAACCCUUGUCAUUAGUUGCCAUCAUUAAGUUGGGCACUCUAGUGAGACUGCCGGGGAUAACUCGGAGGAAGGUGGGGAUGACGUCAAAUCAUCAUGCCCCUUAUGUUCUGGGCUACACACGUGCUACAAUGGUCGGUACAAAGAGACGCGAAGUCGCGAGGCGGAGCAAAUCUCAAAAGCCGAUCCCAGUUCGGAUUGUAGGCUGCAACUCGCCUACAUGAAGUUGGAGUUGCUAGUAAUCGCGGAUCAGAAUGCCGCGGUGAAUGCGUUCCCGGGUCUUGUACACACCGCCCGUCACACCACGGAAGUUGGGGGUGCUCAAAGUUGGCAGGAUAAUAUGUUACCUAAGGCAAAACCGAUGACUGGGGUGAAGUCGUAACAAGGUAGCCGUUCGAGAACGAGCGGCUGGAUCACCUCCUUUCUAAGGAGACUUCGGUUUCCAUACUAUGCAUGUUCAAAGGUUGAACAAAGAAAGCGCAUUAGAUGCAUAAAGAGAACGUAUUUUCUUCUCAAUGCGCAGAAUUUUUUGCUUAAUGUAAGUCGAGUAACUAAGCAAUAAGCGAAAAAGUCAAGUAUAUGGGCUUGUAGCUCAGGUGGUUAGAGCGCACGCCUGAUAAGCGUGAGGUCGGAGGUUCGAGUCCUCCCAAGCCCACCAUUAGCACGAGUAAGACGUGGCAGAGCAUUUAUGCGAUGAAGCCCGAUGGUCUGAAAGUGCAUUUUUAAGCACCUUGAAAACUGAAUAGAGUAUCAAAGAAAGAAGAGAAGCAAAGAAGACAACGAAGAGGAUAUAGAAGUAUCAGUUAAGAUAUGAGGGUAAACUCAUCGAAGUCGAAAUUGUUGAAGAGAAAACCAGAAGAUUUCACUAUGAGAUUAAUAAUAGUGUAAAGACCUAUGCAAUAAACGCUAUGCAUAGGCGAAGGAAUCGACUCGAAAAGCGAUGAAAAAACAUCGCGAAGUGAUUUGACCUUAAUGCGAUUAACAAAGCAGUAAGGGCAAAUACGAACGAGAGGUCAAGUGAAGAAGGGCACAAGGUGAAUGCCUUGGCACUAGGAGCCGAAGAAGGACGUGACAAGCUGCGAAAAGCUGCGGUAAGGAGCAAAUAUCCGAUGACCCGCAGAUAUCCGAAUGGAGAAAUCCGGCUGUAGUAAUGUACAGUCAUGUAUAAGUGAAUAAAUAGCUUAUGCAGGGAAACUCGGGGAACUGAAACAUCUAAGUACCCGAAGGAAGAGAAAGAAAAAUCGAUUUCCUAAGUAGCGGCGAGCGAAAGGGAAAGAGGCCAAACCAUUAGUUUACUAAUGGGGUUGUGGAUCACUCACAACUUAGGGUUUUGAUAGCAGAAUAGGUUUGGAAAGACCAACCGUAGAGGGUAAAGGUCCCGUAUGCGAAAUCAAAUAACUAAAGAGUGACACCAGAGUAGCACCGGACACGUGGAACCCGGUGUGAAGCCGGGGGGCCCACCCCCCAAGCCUAAAUACUACCUAGUGACCGAUAGAGAAU
rnacentral:misc_RNA from 1 species